ensembl:lncRNA
GGAAGUUGUCGGGUCAUAGAGUGUUUAUGAAUUGGAGAAGGAAAUGGCAACCCACUCCAGUGUUCUUGCUUGGAGAAUCCCAGGGAUGGGGGAGCCUGUUGGGCUGCCGUCUCUGGGGUCACACAGAGUUGGACACGACUGAAGCGACUUAGCAGCAGCAGCAGCAGAGUGUUUAUGAACAUGAGGAUCCUGUGUCAUUCGGACAGACAGCCGUGCAAGGUAGACAGAAGAAGUGAAGAAGUGAAGUCGCUCAGUCGUGUCGGACUCUUUGCGACCCUGUAGACUGUAGCCUGCCAGGAUCCUCUGUCCAUGGGAUUCUCCAGGCAAGAAUACUGGAGUGGGUUGCCAUUUCCUUCUCCAGAGGAUCUUCCCAACCCAGGGACUGAACCUGCAUCUCCUGCAUUUCAGGCAGACGCUUUAUCCUCUGAGCCACCAGGGAAGGUAGACAAAACUGAUAUUCUAUUUCAUCCUUGAAGAAGCUAAGAAGUUAGAUGAUGAGCCCAAGGUCCCCCUGCUGCUGGAUUCUUAACCACUGGACCACGAGGGAAAUCCCUGAUGGCUGGAUAUAAUUUAGAUAUGUGGAGACACGGAAGAGUUUUAAGAAGAGGAAAAAGCAUCAUCUCACAUGGCGACAGAGGAUGAGAUGGUUGGAUGGCAUCAAUGACUCAAUGGACAUGAGUUUGAACAAACUCUGGGAGAUGGUGAAGGACAAGGGAGCCUGGCCUGCUGCAGCCCAUAGGGUCGCAGUCAGACUCGACUUAGCUGCUGAACAACAAUAACACAUCAGCUUGGGUUUAAGUGUAAGUCAGGAUCCAAUCAUUACAUUUGCCUUAGAGGCAGAGAUGACCUGCAU